GUGGGGAAUAUUCCGCAAUGGACGAAAGUCUGACGGAGCAACGCCGCGUGAGUGAUGAAGGUUUUCGGACUGUAAAGCUCUGUUGUUUAGGACGAAAGUGCCUGUUGCGAAUAGUUACAGGUAUUGACGGUACUGAACGAGGAAGCCACGGCUAACUACGUGCCAGCAGCCGCGGUAAUACGUAGGUGGCAAGCGUUGUCCGGAAUUAUUGGGCGUAAAGAGCAUGUAGGCGGGAAUCUAAGUCUGUUAUGAAAAUGCGGGGCUCAACCCCGUAUUGCGAUGGAAACUGGGUUUCUUGAGUGCAGGAGAGGAAAGGGGAAUUCCCAGUGUAGCGGUGAAAUGCGUAGAUAUUGGGAGGAACACCAGUGGCGAAGGCGCCUUUCUGGACUGUGUCUGACGCUGAGAUGCGAAAGCCAGGGUAGCGAACGGGAUUAGAAACCCCAGUAGUCC
rnacentral:rRNA from 1 species